AUAGAAAUAAAUAAAAAUAAAAUUUAAAUAAAAAUAAUUAAAUUUUUAUUCUUUUUGUAUUAAGAUUUUAUAAAUAAUAAAUUAAAUAAUAUUUUUAUAAAUAAUAAGAAUUAUUUUAUUUAAAUAUUUAAUAUAUAAAAAUUAUUAUAAAAAAUAAAAUAGUUUAGAUAAUAAAUUCAAUUAUUAGUAAAUAAAUUUAUAUUAAAUUAAUUUAAUUAAAAAUUUUUAAUUAAUUAAAAAUUAAAUAUUUAUAAAGUUAAGUUUAUAAAUAAGUUAAAUAUAAAAUAAAGUAAAAUAUGUAAUAUAAUUAAAACUUUUAAUUUUAAAUUUAAUUAUAAUUUAAUAUUAAUCUUAUAUAAAUUUAAUUAAUAAUAAAUAAUAUAAAAAAUAAAAAAAUAAAUAAUUUAUAUAUAUAAUAUAAAAAUUAGUAGUUAAAAUUAUUUAAAAAUAUGAAUUAGGCAAUAUAAUUUUUAUUUGUUUAAUAAAAACAUAGUUUAAAGAAUUUAAUUUUAAAUAUAUUCUGCUCAAUGAUUAAUUAAAUAGCUGCAGUAUAUUAACUGUACAAAGGUAGCAAAAUAAUUUGUAUUUUAAUUGAAUAAUGGAAUGAAUGAAUAAAUAAAAAAUUAACUUUAUUUUUUUAAAUUAAUGAAUUUUAUAUUUAAGUAAAAAAGCUUAAAUAAUUUUAAAAGACGAAAAGACCCUAAAAAUUUAAUAUUGAAUUAAUAUUUAUUUGGGGUAAAUAUAAUAGAAAAAUUUAUUAAAUUUUUUAAAAAUAAAUUAAAUUUAAAAUUACUUUAGGGAUAACAGGAUAAUUAAAUUUAAUAGAUUAAAUUAAAAAUUUAGAUUAUUACCUCGAUGUUGAAUUAAUUAAACUUAUUAAAAUAGAGAUUAAUUAAGUUAGUUUGUUCAACUAUUAAAUAAUUACAUGAUUUGAGUUAAGAUCGAUGUAAAUUAGAUUGGUUUUUAUCUUUAAUUUAUUUAUUAAUUUAGUACGAAAGGAUUAAUUAAUUUUUUAAGAAAU
rnacentral:rRNA from 1 species